rnacentral:rRNA from 1 species
CCUACGGGGGGCAGCAGUGAGGAAUAUUGGUCAAUGGCCGGAAGGCUGAACCAGCCAUGCCGCGUGAAGGUCAGUGCCCUAUGGGCGUUAAACUUCUUUUGUGCGGGAGCAAUAAUGGUCACGUGUGGCCAGACGAGAGUACCGUACGAAUAAGCAUCGGCUAACUCCGUGCCAGCAGCCGCGGUAAUACGGGGGAUGCAAGCGUUAUCCGGAUUUUUUGGGUUUAAAGGGUGCGUAGGCUGUGAGGUAAGUCAGCGGUGAAAUGCCCCCGCUCAACGGGGUGAAGUGCCAUUGAUACUGCCUUGCUGGAAUGCGGAUGCCGUGGGAGGAAUGUGUGGUGUAGCGGUGAAAUGCAUAGAUAUCACACAGAACACCGAUUGCGAAGGCAUCUCGCGAAUCCGCGAUUGACGCUGAUGCACGAAAGCGUGGGUAUCAAACAGGAUUAGAUACCCCAGUAGUC